ACUUGGGGUCUCGCAAA
rnacentral:misc_RNA from 1 species